GACGAACGCUGGCGGCGUGCUUAACACAUGCAAGUCGAACGGAAAGGCCCUGCUUUUGUGGGGUGCUCGAGUGGCGAACGGGUGAGUAACACGUGAGUAACCUGCCCUUGACUUUGGGAUAACUUCAGGAAACUGGGGCUAAUACCGGAUAGGAGCUCCUGCUGCAUGGUGGGGGUUGGAAAGUUUCGGCGGUUGGGGAUGGACUCGCGGCUUAUCAGCUUGUUGGUGGGGUAGUGGCUUACCAAGGCUUUGACGGGUAGCCGGCCUGAGAGGGUGACCGGCCACAUUGGGACUGAGAUACGGCCCAGACUCCUACGGGAGGCAGCAGUGGGGAAUAUUGCACAAUGGGCGGAGGCCUGAUGCAGCAACGCCGCGUGCGGGAUGACGGCCUUCGGGUUGUAAACCGCUUUCGCCUGUGACGAAGCGUGAGUGACGGUAAUGGGUAAAGAAGCACCGGCUAACUACGUGCCAGCAGCCGCGGUGAUACGUAGGGUGCGAGCGUUGUCCGGAUUUAUUGGGCGUAAAGGGCUCGUAGGUGGUUGAUCGCGUCGGAAGUGUAAUCUUGGGGCUUAACCCUGAGCGUGCUUUCGAUACGGGUUGACUUGAGGAAGGUAGGGGAGAAUGGAAUUCCUGGUGGAGCGGUGGAAUGCGCAGAUAUCAGGAGGAACACCAGUGGCGAAGGCGGUUCUCUGGGCCUUUCCUGACGCUGAGGAGCGAAAGCGUGGGGAGCGAACAGGCUUAGAUACCCUGGUAGUCCACGCUGUAAACGGUGGGUACUAGGUGUGGGGUCCAUUCCACGGGUUCCGUGCCGUAGCUAACGCUUUAAGUACCCCGCCUGGGGAGUACGGCCGCAAGGCUAAAACUCAAAGGAAUUGACGGGGCCCCGCACAAGCGGCGGAGCAUGCGGAUUAAUUCGAUGCAACGCGUAGAACCUUACCUGGGUUUGACAUGGAUCGGGAGCGCUCAGAGAUGGGUGUGCCUCUUUUGGGGUCGGUUCACAGGUGGUGCAUGGCUGUCGUCAGCUCGUGUCGUGAGAUGUUGGGUUAAGUCCCGCAACGAGCGCAACCCUUGUUCACUGUUGCCAGCACGUUAUGGUGGGGACUCAGUGGAGACCGCCGGGGUCAUCUCGGAGGAAGGUGGGGAUGACGUCAAGUCAUCAUGCCCCUUAUGUCCAGGGCUUCACGCAUGCUACAAUGGCUGGUACAGAGAGUGGCGAGCCUGUGAGGGUGAGCGAAUCUCGGAAAGCCGGUCUCAGUUCGGAUUGGGGUCUGCAACUCGACCUCAUGAAGUCGGAGUCGCUAGUAAUCGCAGAUCAGCAACGCUGCGGUGAAUACGUUCCCGGGGCU
rnacentral:rRNA from 1 species